rnacentral:rRNA from 1 species
UACGUAGGUGGCAAGCGUUGUCCGGAAUUAUUGGGCGUAAAGCGCGCGCAGGCGGUCCUUUAAGUCUGAUGUGAAAGCCCACGGCUCAACCGUGGAGGGUCAUUGGAAACUGGGGGACUUGAGUACAGAAGAGGAAAGCGGAAUUCCACGCGUAGCGGUGAAAUGCGUAGAGAUGUGGAGGAACACCAGUGGCGAAGGCGGCUUUCUGGUCUGUAACUGACGCUGAGGCGCGAAAGCGUGGGGAGCAAACAGG